rnacentral:piRNA from 1 species
UGCAACUCUCUUGGUUCAGUCUUCAGGU